AAUGGAAUUUCUGGGUCAUAUGAGAAAUGUAAGUUUAUUUUUUAAGGAACUGCCAACCAGUUUCCAAAGUGACCAUAUCAUUUUGCAUUCCUGCCAGCAAU
rnacentral:pre_miRNA from 1 species